rnacentral:tRNA from 3 species
GCCGGGGUAGCUCAGCCUGGUUAGAGUGCCAGUUACUUGAUCUGGAGGUCGCGAGUUCGAAACUCGCCCCCGGCA